GGCACGGCGGCCGCCUUCUUCUUGGCCUCCCUGAGGUCCGGCGCGCCGGCCUCCCGCGCGUCCUUGAGCGCCCUGAUGUCGACGAGCUGCACGCCGGGCUCCUCGAGCAGCCGCUGGUACGCCGUCCUCGCGGACACGACGGCGUAGGACUUGGACCCCCCGCCGCCGCCCCCCAGCAGCUGCCCGAGGAGCAGCGGCAGCGCAACGGCAGCUACGCUCGCGGCAAUGACGAUAGGGUUCUCGGUGACGAAGUCGACGAGCCCGUCGAGGCCGAGGUCCGGGAGCGUGAGCGCGAACUCGCCCCCGUCCCCGCCGGAGUCGGACGAGAGGCGCAGCGCCUCCUCG
rnacentral:lncRNA from 1 species